rnacentral:rRNA from 1 species
AGUGAACGCUGGCGGUAGGCCUAACACAUGCAAGUCGAACGGCAGCACAGUAAGAGCUUGCUCUUACGGGUGGCGAGUGGCGGACGGGUGAGGAAUACAUCGGAAUCUACUUUUUCGUGGGGGAUAACGUAGGGAAACUUACGCUAAUACCGCAUACGACCUACGGGUGAAAGCAGGGGAUCUUCGGACCUUGCGCGAUUGAAUGAGCCGAUGUCGGAUUAGCUAGUUGGCGGGGUAAAGGCCCACCAAGGCGACGAUCCGUAGCUGGUCUGAGAGGAUGUUCGGCCACACUGAACUUGAGAACCGUCCCGGCCCCUUAGGGAGGCAGCAGUGGGGAAUAUUGGACAAUGGGCGCAAGCCUGAUCCAGCCAUACCGCGUGGGUGAAGAAGGCCUUCGGGUUGUAAAGCCCUUUUGUUGGGAAAGAAAAGCAGCAGGUUAAUACCCCGCUGUUCUGACGGUACCCAAAGAAUAAGCACCGGCUAACUUCGUG